CGAAGCGAUAUGAGCUAAAGAGUAUAAAUGAUAGUAGAAAAGUGUUGCAGAACAUAAAGAGUGCUUUUUAGGGGUGAUAGGCCUACCAAAUAUCGCGAUAUCUUGUUUGCUUUGAAACUUAUUUAGUAUAAGACAAAUCUAGAGUGAUAAUAUUUUAGAUCCUGACUAAUGCGUGAGGCGUGAAUUUAUCGAGCAUAAAAGCGCAUAAGUUGAUAUAAUAAUAUUAAUUUAUAAGGGUUGUUAAAAGUAGAGGUAAGUAUCCUAAUGAAUGUGUAUAUUUAUAAUGUUAAUAUAAGUAAAUGUAAAAGUAUACUAAAUGAACUCGGCUAAAAUUUCUCGACUGUUUAUCAAAAACAUAGCUAGAUGUGCUUAUAUUUAGUGUCUCCUGCUCAAUGAUUUAUUUAAUAGCCGCAGUACUCUGACUGUGCAAAGGUAGCAUAAUCAAUUGGCUUAUAAUUGAAGUCUGGAAUGAAAGGAUCCACGGGGAAUUACUCUAUCUAGUAUUUAAAGUGAAAUUGGGUUUCAAGUGCAAAUACUUGUUAUUAAAUGUUAGACGAGAAGACCCUAGAAAUUUGUGUAAACGUUUAGUUGGGGCAACGAAGUAGGACAUAACCUACAUUUUUGGACAAGAAAUUGAUUAGGAAGAAGAAAUUACUCUAGGGAUAACAGCAUAAUUUUGCAAAGUUUGUGACCUCGAUGUUGGAUUUGGGAAUUAUAGUCUAGA
rnacentral:rRNA from 1 species